UACGUAGGGGCCAAGCGUUGUCCGGAUUUAUUGGGCGUAAAGAGCUCGUAGGCGGUUGGGUAAGUCGGGUGUGAAAACUCCAGGCUCAACUUGGAGAUGCCACCCGAUACUGCUCUGACUUGAGUUCGGUAGGGGAGUGGGGAAUUCCUGGUGUAGCGGUGAAAAUGCGCAGAUAUCAGGAGGAACACCGGUGGCGAAGGCGCCACUCUGGGCCGAUACUGACGCUGAGGAGCGAAAGCGUGGGGAGCGAACAGG
rnacentral:rRNA from 1 species